rnacentral:rRNA from 1 species
UUUGUCCUCAAAUCAGGUAGGACUACCCGCUGAACUUAA